rnacentral:rRNA from 1 species
AGUGAACGCUGGCGGUAGGCCUAACACAUGCAAGUCGAACGGGAGCACAGUAAGAGCUUGCUCUUACGGGUGGCGAGUGGCGGACGGGUGAGGAAUACAUCGGAAUCUACUUUUUCGUGGGGGAUAACGUAGGGAAACUUACGCUAAUACCGCAUACGACCUACGGGUGAAAGCAGGGGAUCUUCGGACCUUGCGCGAUUGAAUGAGCCGAUGUCGGAUUAGCUAGUUGGCGGGGUAAAGGCCCACCAAGGCGACGAUCCGUAGCUGGUCUGAGAGGAUGAUCAGCCACACUGGAACUGAGACACGGUCCAGACUCCUACGGGAGGCAGCAGUGGGGAAUAUUGGACAAUGGGCGCAAGCCUGAUCCAGCCAUACCGCGUGGGUGAAGAAGGCCUUCGGGUUGUAAAGCCCUUUUGUUGGGAAAGAAAAGCAGCAGGUUAAUACCCCGCUGUUCUGACGGUACCCAAAGAAUAAGCACCGGCUAACUUCGUG